UUCAGUUAUGUUGCUGCAGGUAACACUGUCAUGUCAUAUGGUCGCUGGAUAACUACAGGUAACAUCGCGAUUGCGGAGUUCGCUUUUAGGGCUCAUCUGAAUCUUCAUAUGGUGGUCUGGAGGCUGCCUUCACUGGAAUGGGAUUGGCCCAACCAACUUGCUAGUCACAGGCAGGGGGCUAUACAUUAUCAGGGCAAUCAUCGAUCAAUAAAUAGAUUCAGAAACAGGACGCAAGCUCUAUCAUUCCCUUCCUCUAGUAUCCCCUUCUUACCUUUUUUUUUGGACUAGUAAAAUGUGCGUAUCGCACGUAUUUUAAAAAAUAUUGAACACGUAUUUAUAUUCAUAAAUGCUCCUCAUAGGAAUUUUUUAUUCAAUCGGCAUAAACAGCAAGCCACAUAAUUUGUCUGAACAUAUUAUUAAAUCAAAGGUUAAACUCAGUUUAAAUCAUAGAUGAAUUCAGGAGGUGGCAAAACUUUGCCAAACAUCCCCUUUUUUUUUGGGCAAAAAAGUGAUUAAGACUGAUUCCAUGGGGUGAUUCUGUGUAAUGAACUAAUGGCUGAGAGGUGAAAAGGAAUUCUGGGUAAUACUCUAAGAUUAUGGGGUUACAAAACAUCUAUUUUAUGAACAGCUUAGGAGAUUAAGGUGUAGCUCCUGCAGGCCACAAACAAGAAGCAACUCGUGCGUGUUAAAUUUUCAUCCUGGAAAAAGAGGAGGUGAAAUCUGAGAGCAAGUGGUGAAGAGGAAAAAGGAAAUCGAAACCCAAGCUUUCGAUGGCCGGCGUUGACCCGUCAUCCGUCGAAGCCCGUCCGACUCCAGAUGGCGUUGCGCACCCGCGAUAUGUCCGGCCCUUGAGGGUUCGCAAGGCGCCCUCCAGCACAACCUCCCGCGCUUGCCGCCAGCGUCCAUCUCCAUCUCCAUCUCGAACAGCAUCGUUGGUUCCAGGUCCGGCGCGGUGUGGCCCGAGCCCGGGCGAUGGGAGGGGUGUGUGAAAUCAUGGGUACGCGAGCGGGUAGACUGCAGAGGCGGUGAGGAAAACAAUUGAUUUUGGGCAGAAACAUCUUUUAACUUGCGGUUUUUAUGGGUCUACCCUCCCUUCCAUCCUCCUCAACUCCGACAUGCGAGUUCAACGUGAGGGGUAUCGCAGGCCUAAUACAAGUAAGAAAUAUUUUCAAUUGUUUUCGAUCUUUAUAGUAUAACUACUUACAUCGGUUGUUAUUGACCGAGGGUAUCGCAGGCCUAAUACAAGUAAGAAAUGUUUUCAAUUAUUUUCGAUCUUUAUAGUAUAACUACUUACAUCGGUUGUUAUUGACCGAUUCAUGGAGACAACUGCUAACAUUUCACGUUUAACAUUAUUUGUAGAUACCCUUGUACUUCACAAAUCGUGAAAUGUUCACUUCAGGCUCGGGAAACAUGCUUGCUGUUCGCGAUUAAAUUAUAUUUUUUCCCCUAGUUUGUGGGUUCGUUCGUACAUGUGAACGAACAAAUUCUUCUGAUGGUUAGCGGAAGGCAUCAUGACAUGCAUGCGGAUAUGUUCUGCAGCAUUUCUGAACUUUCCAUUGCCCCAGUGGUCAGUGCGCAUUCGCGGCACGCAUCCACGGGUUCUGCUGCACUUCCAACUUCCAGAGUUGCAGGCCCAGACUCUCGCGGGGAAACCAUCCCAUCCCCUUCCGCACAGGCGGCGCCGGCGGCUCCGGUGCCCCGGCCGCGGCGGCAAUGGCGGCGAUCUGGACGGCCUUCUCAACUACUUCAGCGUCGCGCGCUGCUGGAGAAUCGCUGCGUCUCGGCCUCUCGAGCCCCCGAAGCAUGCGGUCGGUCCUCACUGGCCACCGUCAUAGAGGCCCCUGCCGCCCCUAUAGGGUUCCUCAUCCAACGCCGCCUUGGACGCCUUCCUUCUCUGCAUUGAUAAAGGAUUAAUUCGUUACGGAGGGGUAAGUAACCCCCUGUCAAGGUUCGCAAAAUGGAGUUAAAUCUCAACGACUGCAAUCCAAAGGUAAUGAGAUGGAUGCUCAUUUCAGACCCUGAAGUAUCAAGGUUCUUUCUACCACUGAUGAUUUCCAUGACCACGGCACCGAAGCUAUAGACAUCUGCCUUUUCUGUGAUUUGUGAUGUCAGCCAUUCAAAAGCUAAAUAUCCAGUAAGGUAAUAAGAUGGAUGCUUUCUUCAGACCGUGAAGUGUCAAGAUUCUUUCUGCCACUAAUGAUUUCCAUGACCACAACGCCAAAGCUAUAUACAUCGGCUUUUUCUGUGAUUUGGGAUGUCAACCACUCAGGAGCUAAAUAUCCAGAUCACCUGUAACCCUAGAGGCAGCACCUUUGUCCAAGCUUUGGACCGAGACUUGAGGGAAGUAUUCACAUGCAACCGCGUGAAACAAGGUUCAAGGCGGCUUGACUGGAGAACUGUGCCGCCAGCUAUGUGCCAAGAAGUCUCACUCAUCACAUGAUUUUGUGAUUGGGACGUUGAUUUCUUUUUCUGAAAAAAUGCACAAUAUAAUUGUCAAAUGAUGAACCGAACCGUGUAACGGGAUGAACAGGCUAGGCCUCUUGAUUUUCUGCCUCAUGUACGCUUAGGUUUGCGUAGGAUAGGAAGAGAGCAGAUGCAUGAUACAUGCUUGGCAACUGGCCGAAGAUCGACGCAUGAGCUUUUUGGAUAUUCAUGGAACCUGUUGCAGAUAGUUGUGAUGAAAUGGCAUUUCUGAGCUUA